UACGAAGGGGGCUAGCGUUGCUCGGAAUCGACUGGCGUAAGCGCACGUAGGCGGCUUUUUAAGUCAGGGGUGAAAUCCUGGAGCUCAACUCCAGAACUGCCUUUGAUACUGAGAAGCUUGAGUCCGGGAGAGGUGAGUGGAACUGCGAGUGUAGAGGUGAAAUUCGUAGAUAUUCGCAAGAACACCAGUGGCGAAGGCGGCUCACUGGCCCGGUACUGACGCUGAGGUGCGAAAGCGUGGGGAGCAACAGG
rnacentral:rRNA from 1 species